AGGGGUGAUUUUUGGUGUUUCCCCCCCAGGCUGAGCAGCUCCACAGAGCAGAGCACCUCGUCACGGCUCAUCCGAAAGCACAAACGCCGGAGGAGGAAGCAGAGGAUGAGGCAGAUCGACAGGUCGUCUUCGUUCAGCAGCAUCACCGACUCCACCAUGUCCCUGAACAUCAUCACCGUCACGCUCAACAUGGAAAAGUACAACUUUUUGGGCAUCAGCAUCGUGGGCCAGAGCAACGACCGCGGUGACGGCGGCAUUUACAUCGGCUCCAUCAUGAAGGGAGGGGCGGUGGCGGCCGACGGGCGCAUCGAGCCGGGGGACAUGCUGCU